CUGGAGUUGGCAAGCUACUAUGAUUUUCCUUCUAGAAUGAAGCCCCUUUGGGAUACUCUAACUUUUGAAAGGAAAAGAACAUCUAACAUGAGGAAAAAACAAACCAGACAGACAGCUCAUUAGAAGCUCAUUAUGACAACCGAGAUAACGCCAGUCACGACUUCAGGAAGGAGCGUCCAGACUGUGGAGAAAUAGAAGAAACACAUCCAGAAAGCAGAUUUUCUACAGCAAAAUACCCAGAGUCAGCUUCACCUGGCAGAAAACAUGAACCAAGGGCUUUGUUCCAGUGCAGUUUGGAGAGGCAUAUACUGGAUUUUUCAUUCAGUCAACAAGUAGUAAUUGGAGAGUAAAUGAACACUGUUCUAAGCACUUGGAAAACUGCAAUGAACAAAAGAGAUAAAAGUUCUUCCAUCAUGAAGCUGUGACAGUUUAUUGCCAUGUUCCAGAGAGAAAGAACAUCUUGCUGUGUACCUGUCAUAGAAGAUUCUGGAACUUUGAGUUCACUGUCUUUCAAAUGCCCUUGAUGACUCUGUGGAUGAAGAGGUUAGUAUGUGUGUCCAUGUGUGCUGUGUGAAAGAGAGAAGAAAAGAAACAGGAAAAGAAAGCAACAUUGAAACAGAAUAAACCAAGAGAGAAACUAUGUUUUAAAAGUAAUAGGUUUACCUUUAUGAUCUAGUGAAAACACAGAAGACAGUAGUACUGAGAAAAAAAAUAGACACACAAAGGAGCACUGGAACAGAUGGGGAGACCUGCUAUUCUUUGUGUUUGGAAGAUACAAAAUAUCAACUCUCCCUGACAAUCUAUAAAUCUGACAUCAGAUCCCCAAAACUUCAUAAUGAUGUUUUGAACUAGAUAAGCCGAUUUUCAAGGAAGAGGAAAAAUCUGGGUUGGGGGAAUGGUAAGCUCUAUCAGAUAGUGAAAUACAAAGUGUCAAUAACUAAGACCACAGUACUAAUUCAUAAGUAAACAGACAGAACAAUGGAACUGAAAGAAUGCCCAGAAAGAGUUCCAAAUGCAUAUGGGAAUAUAACGUCUAAUCAACACGGCUCAUUGCUCAGGGCUCUGUCUGCCUCACCACCAUUGUCAACCACACUGCUGGUCUUUUGCCUCUUUCUCGUUAGUAAGAGGCUCAGUGCUAACCAGAAGCCCCUGGCACAGAACGGCUCAGGAUUAGGACAGAGUGCAGGAUUUAGAUGGUAAGAAGCUGAGUAACCAUUCUGUUCUACCGCUUGUGGUUUGAUGAACUUGAAUUUGGAACUUAAGUGCGCUGAGCUUUGGUUUCAUUGUUGAUAAUGGAAAAAUAACAAAAUCCAUAUCAAAGAAUCAUUGUGAGGGUAAAAUAAGUCAAUACAUAUUAAUCUACCUAACAAAUUCUGGUACUGAAAAAAAUGAAAAUAUCCGAGUUGAAUAGCUUAGUAUGCACCUUAACUGGGUUAACUUAAUAGGCACCAACUCUGGGUUGAUUGUUUAAAAACUUGUCUGUCUGCGGACAGAAAUUGCUUUCUAAAAAUCUCAAAUCU